AUGUUGAGAUAUGAUCUCGAGGACCAGCUCUCGGUCAUCUAUGUUGACGAGGAGGCCUACUGGCGGUUGCGCGGCACCCAACGGUGGGUGCUUCAGGGUGACGCCAACACGGCCUACUUCCAGGCGAUUGCCAAUGGCCGGCGUCAUCGCAACUCCAUUCACUCCCUGUGGGAAGGUGAUACUCAGCUUGUUCGGCCCUCGGACAUCCGUGCCCACGUAGACGGCUUCUAUAAAGCCCUUUUCACCCCCACCCCUCGGGGUGGGGCUGUGCUGGCCCCCGAUACCUGGUCGGGUGCCCAGCUUGUCUCCGCCGAGGCCAACGCCGCUUUGGUGGCGCCUUUCUCGGAGGAGGAGGUCCUUGCGGCGAUCAAUGGAAUGAACCCCUCCUCGGCUCCGGGCCCGGAUGGAUUGCCAGUCCUGUUUUUUAAAACAUUCUGGCAAUCCAUUAAACCGGAGGUCAUGGCCCUCUUCGACGAGUUCUUCUCUGGGACCAUGGACCUGGGGCGCCUGAACUAUGGGAUCAUUACCCUCAUCCCAAAGGUUCCGGGGGCCUCGGACAUCCGCCAGUUCUGCCCGAUCACCGUG
rnacentral:rRNA from 1 species